rnacentral:lncRNA from 1 species
GUGGAUGCACCAAGUUGGGUUUUUGUAGUGAGCAUGCUGCAAAGAUAAUAUAAAAUUACCCUUACUUGUCACAGAGACCAGCCCAGCAGUGUGGUACAUCCAAGGACCACAUGCAGUAGACCUACCUGCUGCUGAGGACCCCAGCUGAAGGAUUUUAACUGACGUGUGGGCUGACUCUGCCACAGAAGCACAACCACAAUUGAUCACUAUAUUCUGAAUAAGACUUGGAGUUCAAGCAAUCAUAUGAAAAGGCACUCAAUAACCUUCUGUCUUCCUUGAUUCCAAAUACGGUAUACAUAAAGGUUAUCAUAUACUCCUCUUCAGCUAGCUAGGUUAUCUUGACAUGCUUCAAUUAUUUUGUAAUUGCCACUGUUUUUCAACAGCUGUGCCCUUGAAAUGCAUUUUCUCUUUUGACUAAUCAGAUAAUUUGAAGAUGCAGUGCCACUUCUGCAAUAAAGCCAAUAUUGUUAAGAGCCAUUGGUGUUUUAAAGGAUCCAUAUUUCAGGAGAAAAUUAUACCAUCAACUGUAAUUUAUGUGAAAUUGUGUUAAAGCAAGUGUGUCUCUAAAUUUCUACUCGAGAAAAAUUUAACUAAAAAUGUUGUCUUUUAUUUCUGUGACCAACUCAAAGUCUGAUUUUAAAAAGUGAUUCUACAGCGAGUCGCUCAUAUUGCAUUUUCACUUAAUCCUAAAAUAGCAGUCUGUUGCCAAACAAUAGAAAUAACAGAAUAACUGAAGCUUGUCAAGACCAUCUAGGAGGUUGAUUAAACCUAGAGAUGGUUCCCUGUGAAACUGACUAUGAACUAGAAUUUAUGAACCCAUUAUACUUUGCA